rnacentral:misc_RNA from 1 species
UUUGCGGCAGUCAACCGACGAACCGGUGCCGAGCGCGAAAAACACAGCUACGCGCACCGCGUACCGAAAAAACACCUUUUCCCAUCAACCAAUUCGAAAAAUACAGUUUACGUGGUCAAAAUUGGGUUGAUUAAGCCGGUUCGAACCGCUUCCGAGGCGAUUUUGGCUGCUGGGAACUUAUUAUUCCAGCAUCACAUGCCCCAGCAGGGGAGGGCGUAGAUUGAGCCGCAAGAGCCGUACCGAGCCGCACCGAGCCGCAACGAGCCGUACGGCUGCCACCAGAUGAUCGGCUCAUUUUGGAACCUGUGCCGCGCGUGCCCUUCCAUGCCUGUGGAUAAGCUGCACUCCGAGUACCGCAGCACAUACCGAUGGCACGAGCACAAAGAGCAGCAGCAGGGCGUGGUCAGGCAGCCCGCGCCCACGCCGCCCUCCGCGCUGCCCAUCGCACGGGGAGCAAUAGAACCGGCGAUGCCGCGGCGGAAGAAGUACCCAGGCGUGGCGUACAAGACGAACGACCUGUUCGACCCGGCGCCCGCAGACGACAUCCGCGCCUUCGAGCGCGCCCGGAGUGCUCAGAGGAACGACUCAGAGCGCGCGGGCCGGCGCAGCAAGUCGGAAGGCCCUCGUCAGCCGCGGUGGACCGACACCGUGGAGCCAAAGGCCACCACCGCGCUAGGUGAAGUGCUAGCAGCGAAGGAGCCCGAGGUGACGGUCAGCACGGAGUACCGGAACCAGUUCGCGUGGCCCAAGGACGAGACGGUGCCCAGGAAGAGCAUCUCCAUGGGCGCGCUGAAGAAAGCCGCCGUGGCCGAAGGGUCAGUAGAAGCUGAACCCCUCAUGAACCACGUGGACGGCGACCACGACGACGGGCCCAAGAAGUACAUCGAAGACUACCUCUGGAACGGACAGAAACCCGGGGUCCAAAGAAAAUCGACGUUCCGUAGCGCGCUAUCGGCCCUCAUAUACAACGGGGAGGAUCGUUCCAAAGAUAAUAGGAAACGUUACAAAAGCGAGUACAAAAAGAAAUUUAGACCGUUCUCUCAGUACGUGUACGAGGCGUCUAAAGGGACGUUUACCAAAUGCAGGGGGAAAGGGAAAGCGAUAGAGGAGGCGAGCGAGCGCCUGGUGGGGGAUGCGGGGCGCGCGGGGGACGCGGUAGACGGGGCGGGGGCGGGCGCGGGCGCGGGAGCGGGAGCGGGCGCGGGGGAGGACACGGCCAGCACGCUGCGCGCGGCCGGCCUGCAGCCGCUCGGGCUCGCGCAGGGCGACUCCUGGUACCGCGAGGUGCUGGAUCUGCGCAAGCGCGCCGGCGAGUACAAGUAUCGCGGCUGGGGGACUGAACUAGCUCCUGAACACAUCACCCAGCUUUACAAUAAACAGAUCGAACUGUGGUACCAAGUGUCCCGCCGAUCCUCGCUGUCAGCCCUUUCACUCGCUUCCACCAAUCACAAGGCUUUACCUCGAGAUGAAAAAGAUGGGAAGGAAUCUAGGAAUCUUUCGCCAAAGAAGUUCAGAUCGUUCCGCUCGGCACCGCACCAGUCCAUCCACGCCAAGCUUCAGGAGACGAAGGCUUUAGAACGGUCUCCACAUAAGACGUCUCCUCAGAAGCAAAGGAAGAAGUUGCAAGGCUACAGCUUCGAUGAAGGUGUUACCCAAGAUGGGCCCAGAAUCGAUACAGUGUUCCGCUCUCCGCGCCGCCGGCCCCGCUCCGCAGACCCCGCCCCAGUGCCCAGCGUCCGGCACAUGCCGAAUGGGCACGAGGCGCGUCCCGCUAAACCAACCGGUUUGCCGUUAAGUAGGGGGAGUAGUAGUAGAGUUAGGCCGUCAUCCCGAGGGGGCAGAUCACCCUCGGCGCCGAGCAAAACCGGGGCAGUAAACGGGUCAAUUGUUAAUGGGGAUAUUGGGGCCACGGGGACAUUGACAUCACCAGAGCAGGGCCGGCGCAGUCGCAGCGUAACAAAAGUGGGCAUAAAAUUGGAUGAUGACAUACCGGCUCACCGUAGCGCUUCCGUCGCCAAAGACCACUUUUUCGAUGACUCGCCAAUCGUGAAAUCCCCCCCGGAACCGACCCGGGUAAAGUCCCCGGAGCAACUGAACAUGCGGUCACCUGACCCGGUCAACUGGACCGUUCCCCUGGACACCGGGAAGACGUUCACGGUGACCCAGAACGUAAAAAGUGAUGAGAGCAUUAAGCGCCCUAGCUCUGACUUUAAGAGUUCGUCGGUGGCCGAAGAAGUGAAGCCGGCAGGUACGACGAAUACCCACGCCUAGACAACGGCCAUACACACACGGUUACCGAGUGUGACAGACCAUGCGACAGUGAACUCUAUCACCACGUUAAUAUGACACAAAGUCCUACGCCCGCCCAACUAGCAUAUUGACUUAACAGUUACAGUUGCAUACUAUAAAAUGACAUAUGUCAUUGCUAUCCUUUAAUAUUAUUCCUAUUGGAAAAGGAUAGCAUAUUUUUUUAUAGAAGUUAGUGUUGCACCAAUCUACUACUAAAGCUGUACAGAGCUUUUUAUAAUACUCGUUAUAAAGCGUUUAAUUCGAUCAUCUUAUCUCUCUGCUCUUGUUAUCUUAUUGUUAACUCUUCGUGCUAUUUGGGUUUCACAUUCACAAUAACAAAAUACGGGCGAGAUUUAUUUUGUUAUGUCAAAUUUGACACAUUGUUACGAGCUGUCGGUUGACGUCACAAACUAAAAUCGCAAGUGUGACGAUCUGGUUGUCACAGUGAAUAAAGGCGGGAGCAUAUAUUUGAAACACGACGCGAUCAAUGAUAUUUUUAAUCAGACACCUAAAAAGCCUAGUCUAGGUAUAAUAAUCGCUUAGAGAACUAAAUCACUUCUAUAUUUAUUUAUUUACUUAUCACAGUCGUCAUUUAUAAAAUAACGCAUCUAAAACUGUGUGAAGAAGAAUAAUUUGUAAAUAAAUAUAAUUAAUGAUUGUAAUAAUGAUAUUUUUUACAAGAAACUCAAAAGCAAUGCUUUUGAGUUUCUGACCGGUACUACACAGUAGAUUCUGCUUUACGAACCAGUAGUCGAGUCAUUAAAACCGACAAUGUAGUAAAUAAGAGUACUUCAAAAAUUUUAAACGUAUCGUCACGUAACGUUACAAUCUGAAACCGUUCAUUCCUGUGAUAGAUAUUAACACCUUGAAAUACUAAUACCGAAGCAUUUGAUUGCCAUUUUAUAAUAAUAAUAAAAGAUUAUUUAUUAAUUUGUAUUUAAAUAAUUCAUUUAUUUUAAAGAGUUUAUUGUUAAUUUUAUCAAUAUGAACGUAUGUCUAAAAUAUUAAUUAUUAAAUUUGAUUUUGAUACCUAUUUCACCCCAUCGUGACGAUAUUGGUGGACAACUCUCUCUCAUGACAUAUAUCAUUGACGCACAGGAUAUGUUUACUUUACAAUGUUUGCCAAAAUUAGAUAGUGUUUCGAACAUAUGCCCCGCCAUGUAGAGAUCACUGCCUCAUACCACACUAUGGACACAAAAAUGAAAAUAUAUAUAACCUGUUUUUUAUUACAUCUAUUGAUAUAAAAAUAUAGUUCAUGAUUAAAUUGUGUUACUCCAAUAAUUGAGAUGCUUUUAUUUAUUUUGACCGUACUCCGCCGAGGCGUCUACCACAAAUCGCACCAAUCCAUCACCAACAGAUGUCGCCAAUACGCUCGCUCAAAAAGAGCGAAUCUCCAACAAGCCUGAGCAAGCGCAC